ensembl:lncRNA
CUUGUUUUUCCAGUCUCCAUGUUAUAAAGAAAAUUCUUCCACAUCACCAGUCUUUUACCUUUCUCUAUCUUAAUUUAUUGUUUCCACUUGACAGAUAAGUAGAGCUUUCACUGAGCAACGAUGAACAUGUUUUCUAGAUAGCCUACCAUUACAUGGACUAAAACUCUUAAAACUUUAUAAGACUUUAUCAUUAGCUCUAUUAAUCUUCUGUAGAAGAGUUUUAGGUAGAUGUUCUACAUUCUUAAUCCUAUUGGUAUCUAGGAAAAUGAAAAGAAUAAAUGAAUAAGGAAUGACUAAUAUGAAUCAUGAUUUGUCAUGUUUACCUUAUCUUCAGAGGUGGGAUUUAGAAGGAGCUACUUGGGGCAGGGAAUUUAGCUCAGUGGUUCCCUCACAAUCGCAAGGUCCCUAGUUGGAUCCCCGGUAGAAGGAGCUACUUGAAAGUCAAUGUAAACGGAUUGCUGCCCUGCUCCACCCUAAGUGUUUGAUUCAGCAGGUCUAGGAUGGACCUUAUAAAUCUGCAUUUUUAACAGGUUACUAAGUGCUGCUAAUGUGGAUUCUACUGGUCAAGCGGCUAUAUCUUGAAAACCACUGCUCUGGGGAAAAGAAGAAAAAAUGUAGAUGUGGGAGCAGUUGGAUAGAGUUGGCUUUGGAUCAUGAGAAGAGAAUGUAAAGUGUGGUGAAUAUGAACACAGCUGCUACUUUCUCCUGCUUCUAUGUAGGACUGCAACAUAGAGGCGUAUGACUUAUUAAACAGGUAGAUUGGCUCUUCCUUCAAUGGCACAAAGCACUAUGUGACUACAAUUUAAAAGACAUACUCAAAAGGCCCACAUGUGUUAUUUUAAGGUAAAUAGAUUGGUAUAUAAUCUAG